GCUUUUGUAAAAAAUAAAACAAAAAAAAACACUUAUACAUGCUUAGGAGACAAAAUAAAAGUCACAAAUAAUGAAGAGAAAAAUGCUUUUUAGCAUGUACUAUUUUCUCAUUGUUGUCUUAGCUACUCAAGAAGCAGUGGUGCAGAUUGAGGCGGCAUGUGCGAUAAGAACAAUUCUAUAUACAGAUGCAUGCAUUGAUGAAUAUCACAAUGUUUCUUGUUACCAUAUGUGCAAAGCAGCAAAUAAACUUUUAUUGGGUGGUGGAUGCAAAAAUGGAAAAUGCUAUUGUUACAAUAAAUGCGAUUGAUAGGGCCAGAGGACUUAUUAUAAUAAGAGAUGAGAGGAUUCAAUGAUAACCCUUGGAUAAAAAUUAAUUAAAUGUAAUAAAUUUGAACUUUGCAUUCCUAAACAAUUCUCUCAUCUUCUUCUUCUUCUUCUUCUUCUUCUUCUUCUUCUUCUUCUUCUUCUUCUUCUUCUUCUUCUUCUUCUUCUUCUUCUUCUCUGUUCGUUUUUUCAAACACCAAUGACAUCUCUUCUUUGACACCAUCUUUGCCGUAUGUACAUCUUCUCUCGAUUCUUGGUUCAACAGUUUUGGGGAGUACGAUGGAGAAGACACAAAUUUGCGAUGAAGAAAACUCUAGAGUUUGCAAUGAAGAAAGUCUGGGAUUUGGUUUUGAAUUAUUGUAGAUUUUCGAUGAAGAG